rnacentral:tRNA from 1 species
UGUUCUGUGGCUUUGUUGGGUGAAGCGUCGGACUAGAGAUACGGAGUCGUGGGUUCGAAUCUCAUCAUCACAA